rnacentral:misc_RNA from 1 species
GGAAGUAAAGUCGUAACAAGGUUUCCGUAGGUGAACCUGCGGAAGGAUCAUUAUUGUAUAACCGAGGUGCGAGGGCUGUCGCUGACCCGAAAGGUCGUGCACGCCCGAGUGCCCUCACACACAUCCAUCUCACCCUAUGUGCACCACCGCGUGGGUCCCCCUUUGGCUUGUUCGGAGGGGGGCUUACGUUUUCACACAAACUUUGUAUGCAGUGUAGAAUGUAUUUUUUGUUUUUGCGAUCACGCAAUCAAUACAACUUUCAACAACGGAUCUCUUGGCUCUC